rnacentral:rRNA from 1 species
GACAGAGGGUGCAAGCGUUGUUCGGAAUCAUUGGGCGUAAAGGGCGCGUAGGUGGCUUGGCAAGCGUGUGGUGAAAGCCCGGGGCUCAACCCCGGGUCUGCCGUGCGAACUGCUAUGGCUUGAGCACUGUAGAGGCAGGUAGAAUUCCGGGUGUAGCGGUGAAAUGCGUAGAUAUCUGGAGGAACACCGGUGGCGAAGGCGGCAUCCUGGACCGAGAUCGACGCUGAGGCGCGAAAGCUAGGGGAGCAAACGGG